rnacentral:lncRNA from 1 species
AUGGUGGCUCUUAUACCUCCUUGCCACCGUCCCCCUAUUCUUGCUGUGGCUGGUCCUGUGUGCAGGACGUAUCUUCUCUUUUCUCUUUCUUCUUUUCCUCUUUUUUUCCUUCUUCUUCUCUUCCCCUCAUUUUCCUCAACAAAUAUUAAUUUGUCCUGUUUGUUAGUUGUCUCCGUCCAAGUCUUUGAACGAGACAAGAUCCUGGAAACAUUAGAUACCACACUGACCAUCCGCAAUGAGCGGUGCAAAAUCCCUUUUGAUGAAGAGCAUAAAAUCAAGAUCUUCCUUACCUGGCAGUCUCUCCUUUGUGAAACCUCAAUAUGUUACUAUGUUGAUUUUCAUAUCUUCAGCAUUCACUUAGCAUCUUCCAGCGAUCUUCUGUGCAGUGGACCCCACCUCAACAGCAGCACAGUUCAGAUGGCCUCCAGGCACAUGGGAGGCCUGAUUUUGAAUGAUUCACAGAUACACAUGCAUGUGGGGCUCUUAUAGGACUAAUAUUCCUUUUUUAUGAACACAAGAAGAGUGUGGGUCAUUUUGGU